rnacentral:rRNA from 1 species
UACGUAGGGUGCGAGCGUUGUCCGGAAUUAUUGGGCGUAAAGGGCUCGUAGGCGGUUUGUCGCGUCGGGAGUGAAAACCUUGGGCUUAACUCAGGGCUUGCUUUCGAUACGGGCAGACUAGAGGUAUGCAGGGGAGAACGGAAUUCCUGGUGUAGCGGUGAAAUGCGCAGAUAUCGGGAGGAACACCGGUGGCGAAGGCGGUUCUCUGGGCCUUACCUGACGCUGAGGAGCGAAAGCGUGGGGAGCGAACAGG